rnacentral:rRNA from 1 species
GAUUAACGCUAGCGGCAGGCAUAAUACAUGCAAGUUGAACGAGAUAAGUUUUAGCAAUAGAACUUUGAAAGUGGCGCACGGGUGCGUAACACGUAUGCAACCUACCUUUUACUGGGGAAUAGCCUCUCGAAAGAGAGAUUAAUACCCCAUAAUAUAUUGAUAAGGCAUCUUAUUAAUAUUAAAGUUACGGCGGUAAAAGAUGGGCAUGCGGCUGAUUAGGUAGUUGGUGAGGUAAUGGCUCACCAAGCCGACGAUCAGUAGGGGGUCUGAGAGGAUGUCCCCCCACACUGGUACUGAGACACGGACCAGACUCCUACGGGAGGCAGCAGUAGGGAAUAUUGGACAAUGGGCGCAAGCCUGAUCCAGCCAUGCCGCGUGCAGGAUGAAGGCCCUAUGGGUCGUAAACUGCUUUUGUACGGGAAGAAACCUCACUACGUGUAGUGAGUUGACGGUACCGUGAGAAUAAGGAUCGGCUAACUUCGUGCCAGCCGCCGCCGUAA